rnacentral:lncRNA from 1 species
AUUAUACUUCAACAAAGCUCUUUUUAAAAAUGUACUCACUCCUUUGCAUUUUUUGAGAGAUUGGGAAGAGAUUUUAAUUACUUCCAAUUACAUUUUUCCACCAGAUAAGUCACUGCACGGAGACUAGGCAACCAGAAGUGCUGGUUAUAUUUGGCUUGCAUACAUUAGGCAUACAGUUCAUGCCUGGCUUCAUAAAUAGCACUGAUUGGGAUUAUUAAUGCAGCAUCCCAGAUCUCAUCUGACUGGCACAGAACUCUCUAUUUAGACCAGAAGUUGCAAACUUUAGGGGCCAGGCAGGUGAAAUAAAGCGAGCAAAGAGAGACGAGCAUAUAGAAUAGGUAAUGGCAGAGACUAUGGCAAAAAUAAUUGAUGUCCACUCUAAAUGCAUGCAAAUUCUGGGUGCUGAACAACAGACGUUGGUGGGCUGAAUCCGGUAAGUCUGGGGGUGGGGAGUCGCUGCCUAGCCUCAUGGUUAGAUCCUGCGUGUAAAGUAGGUCCAUGCAACUCGGUCAUUGGAUGACAACAGCUAACGUUUUACAAAAUACUUUUAUUCAGUCCUCCCAACAACUCUCUAUGCUUGACAGGAUUAUCUCCAUUUUCUAGAUGAGGAAACCGAGGUUCGGAGAUGUCACCAAGACCCCAGUCCAGGGUCAGUGAAGUUAAGAUUCCAACUUGCUUCUUCUCACUCUGGCCUGAGUUUUUUCCCCACCCAGCUAUGCCUAUGAUUGUAUUGCCUUUGUUUACUUCCAUGGAAUAAACCACGUUUUUCCAUGCAAUUUUCUCUUCCUUCCCGCAGCAGUCACUUCCAGGGGACAGGGAUGUUUUGGAAGAAAGCGCUCAAGGAGCCCUCUGGUGGACAUUCUAGGAAAAAAAGAGUUGGAGACACGAACUGGCUGUUACAACUCCCUAUUUUUAUUUUUAUAAAUUCCCUUUUUAAGGAGUUCAUCCGUGUCUGAAUAUCCUGGGAUAGUAAAGCGGGUGACCACCUUCUCGCUGUGUGCUCACAUGACCUCUCUGUGCUCUGGAAGAGAGAGAGCAAGCUCUCUGGGAUCUCUUCUCAUAAGGACGCUAAUGCUAUCGGGUCAGAUUCUCACCUUUACAGCCUCAUUUAACCUUAAUUACUUCUGUAAAGGCCCUAUCUCCAAAUACCAUACAAUGGGGGUUAGAGCUUCACCUAUGGAUUGGGGGUGGAGGGGGGGACCACAAACGUUCAGUCCAUCGCAGUUAUCGUCUCCGUCUUACAGACGAGGAAAAUAGAGCCCUGGACACACACAUUGGCAAACAAAAUAGAAGCCACCUCCACCCUUCUGAGCUUACAGUCUGGCAGGAGAGACUGAUAUUAAAUUACAAAAUUUGAUCAUCACCGUGGAGAAAAAGCAGAGAGAGUUCAGCAAGGGUAGAGCAGUGGAAUCCAGUCUAGAUUAAGGAGUCAGAGAGAGGGACUUUCCUCAGGAAGCGCGGGGCGAGCAGAGAAGGGUGUAGAGUGGAAAACCCGGAGGCAGACAGAAGCAAGGUACAUUCUAGAAACUGAAGAAGUGUGGAUAUCAUGCAGCAAGCCACAAGGGGAUGGUGACAGAGGGGGCUGGGGAGACGAGCUGGAGUCAGACCCCACAGGAGUGAGAGGUUCGACUUGGUCCCUAAGGCAAUGGGGAGCCACUGAAGGCUUUAAGGGGAGGAUACCAUGGUCAGACUUACACCUCUUUGGAGGGGAAUCUGGGUGAGAUGAGGGCGGAGUGGUGGGAGGGAAGAUCUCUUCUCCAGGGCUCCUUUCAGUGGGCACCCUGCCCUCCAGUCUGCCCCACCCUCUGCCCCCACGACGCAUAAACAUCUUGGCUCAAUUCACACAAAACUUUUCAGGAGGACAUCAAUUUUCGAAGAGUUAGGGCAGUCGCCUCUAGAGGCAAUCAUAGACAGAAGGGAAGGAGGAAAAGGCAGCAGGGACAUCUGAGUACCUACCAUGUGCUACUUCAUUUAUUCCAUUCAUUCAUUCAUUCAUUCAGGGGAGCCCCAUGAGGUGUGUGUCAGAGACAAAGCCGGGGGCUCACGGAACCCAUUUCCUCUUCCUGAGUGCUGGCACUACAUUUCCCAGACCCCUUGCAGCUAGGACGUGAGCAAUAGGCCAUGAGCAGAAGUGACGCACCCCCUCUACCAGGCCUGGCCAUAAAGCAUCCUGUCCAAUCUAUUAUGCUCUCUCUCCUGUCCUCGUGGAAGGGAGCAAAGAAGUUUAAGAGGAUGGAGGCUUGUGAUGAAAAGGGACCCAAUCCUCGAGUCCAUCAGUUGGAAGACACCUGCCCAGGAACAUCUGCAUCAGACAUGGCAUGAGAGAGAAAUACACCUUUGUUGCAUUAAG